rnacentral:tRNA from 2 species
GGGCGUUUAGCUCAGCGGGAGAGCGCCUGCCUUACAAGCAGGAGGUCGGCGGUUCAAAUCCGCCAACGCCCACCA